rnacentral:rRNA from 1 species
UACGGGGGGAGCAAGCGUUGUUCGGAUUUACUGGGCGUAAAGGGCGCGUAGGCGGUCAGCACAAGUCAGUUGUGAAAUCUCCGGGCUUAACUCGGAAAGGUCAACUGAUACUGUGCGACUAGAGUGCGGAAGGGGGCAACUGGAAUUCUCGGUGUAGCGGUGAAAUGCGUAGAUAUCGAGAGGAACACCUGCGGCGAAGGCGGGUUGCUGGGCCGACACUGACGCUGAUGCGCGAAAGCCAGGGGAGCGAACGGG